CUCUCUCUCUCUCGCUCCCAUUUCCUCCUCGCAUCUCCUUCAAUGGCGUGGCGCGGUUCCUUCUCGAGGUCACUGCUUGCGGCCGCGCGAUCCUCUUCGGGUGUCCCUCGCCUCCGUCCCAUCGCUGGCCCUCGUCUCCUCCGCCGCCGCCUUUUGGCCUCCCCUCCCAGGACGUUUGGGGAGCUCGGGUGCGUGCAGUCGCUGUUGCCGUUGCACAGUGCGGUGGCCGGGGCGAGGCUGACGUCCCACCUUUCUAUCAGCGCGAGAGCCUGCUGCGAGCUCUCUCAGGGGAGGAGUGGAAAGGAUGGUUGAUGCAAAGAAGAAUGCGCGAGGAUGAAGGGUGCUGUUUCCUAGGCCCUGAAGGAAUGGAAAAGAUGGGUGAUUCAAGAGAAGACAACAUUUUGGUGGGAAGGAGGUUCUGCAUCUUUAAGGUACUUGAGCACAUUCAGAUUAAUGAAGCUCUUGGAAGUCAUCUUAGGUUUUUGUGGGACCCUAUUAUCGGUUAAUCUAGCUGGACGAUAGGAUUAUCCCACUAGUCCUUCAGUUAUUUGAAAGAGUUAGGGUGUUCUUCUUGGAUAAAAAUAAAUCAGACCUUGUAUAGGAAAAAAGUAUAAUCAUUUCCUAAAUGGAUUUAGUUGGUAUUUUUGAGCUAAUUGGAUUGUGCAAUGCAAAUUCAUGUUCCUUUUGUGCUUCCUACUUUUUUA